rnacentral:lncRNA from 1 species
GAAGAAACGAAGGUGGGCUUGGGGAGAUGAAGGUGCCAAGAAGCCACUUACCUCAGUCCCUACAGGCACGAACAUAGUCAGUGCUUCCCGGUCCUUACUGGGUUGGCAAUGUCUCUCCCAGAGUCAAGGAAGCCACUGAGGGCUGAAACUUUUCCAUCCCGAAGGUGUGCUGAGGUUGGCAGAGAGCACUCAAAAACCUUUGGCAUAGAAGAACCACACAGGAUGUUCUUGUUUGAUGAGUGCGAACUCAGUGCUGGAUAAGGCUGGAA